rnacentral:rRNA from 1 species
AGAGUUUGAAUUCCCCGCUCAGGACGAACGCUGGCGGCGUGCCUAAUACAUGCAAGUCGAGCGGACAGAUGGGAGCUUGCUCCCUGAUGUUAGCGGCGGACGGGUGAGUAACACGUGGGUAACCUGCCUGUAAGACUGGGAUAACUCCGGGAAACCGGGGCUAAUACCGGAUGCUUGUUUGAACCGCAUGGUUCAAACAUAAAAGGUGGCUUCGGCUACCACUUACAGAUGGACCCGCGGCGCAUUAGCUAGUUGGUGAGGUAAUGGCUCACCAAGGCAACGAUGCGUAGCCGACCUGAGAGGGUGAUCGGCCACACUGGGACUGAGACACGGCCCAGACUCCUACGGGAGGCAGCAGUAGGGAAUCUUCCGCAAUGGACGAAAGUCUGACGGAGCAACGCCGCGUGAGUGAUGAAGGUUUUCGGAUCGUAAAGCUCUGUUGUUAGGGAAGAACAAGUACCGUUCGAAUAGGNCGGUACC